CCUACGGGUGGCAGCAGUGGGGAAUAUUGGACAAUGGGCGAAAGCCUGAUCCAGCCAUGCCGCGUGUGCGAAGAAGGCCUUCGGGUUGUAAAGCACUUUCAGUGGGGAAGAAAGCCUUGGGGCUAAUACCCUCGAGGAAGGACAUCACCCACAGAAGAAGCACCGGCUAACUCCGUGCCAGCAGCCGCGGUAAUACGGAGGGUGCGAGCGUUAAUCGGAAUUACUGGGCGUAAAGCGCGCGUAGGCGGUCUGAUAAGCCGGUUGUGAAAGCCCCGGGCUCAACCUGGGAACGGCAUCCGGAACUGUCAGGCUAGAGUGCAGGAGAGGAAGGUAGAAUUCCCGGUGUAGCGGUGAAAUGCGUAGAGAUCGGGAGGAAUACCAGUGGCGAAGGCGGCCUUCUGGACUGACACUGACGCUGAGGUGCGAAAGCGUGGGUAGCAAACAGGAUUAGAUACCCCAGUAGUC
rnacentral:rRNA from 1 species